rnacentral:rRNA from 1 species
AACAAACGCUGGCGGCGUGCCUAAUACAUGCAAGUCGAACGAGGUAGCAAUACCAAGUGGCGCACGGGUGAGUAACACGUGGAUAAUCUGCCUUUUAGUGGGGAACAACUAUCCGAAAGGAUAGCUAAUACCGCAUGAGACCACAGGUACUGAGGUACUAGGGGUUAAAGCCGUAAGGCGCUAAAAGAUGAGUCCGCGCAGGAUUAGCUAGUUGGUGGGGUAAAGGCCUACCAAGGCGACGAUCCUUAGCUGGUCUGAGAGGAUGAUCAGCCACACUGGAACUGAGACACGGUCCAGACUCCUACGGGAGGCAGCAGUAGGGAAUAUUGCGCAAUGGGCGAAAGCCUGACGCAGCGACGCCGCGUGAGUGACGAAGGCCUUAGGGUCGUAAAGCUCUGUUGUAAGGGAAAAUAAUGAUGGUACCUUAUAAGAAAGGACCGGCUAACUUCGUGCCAGCCGCCGCAGUAAU